rnacentral:rRNA from 1 species
AUAUCAAUAAGCGGAGGAAAAGAAACCAACAGGGAUUGCCUCAGUAACGGCGAGUGAAGCGGCAAAAGCUCAAAUUUGAAAUCUGGUACCUUUGGUGCCCGAGUUGUAAUUUGAAGAUAGUUUUCUGGUGCUGGCCCUUGUCUAUGUUCCUUGGAACAGGACGUCACAGAGGGUGAGAAUCCCGUCUGGCGGGGUGUCCAGUGCUUUGUAGAUUUCUAUCGACGAGUCGAGUUGUUUGGGAAUGCAGCUCUAAGUGGGUGGUAAAUUCCAUCUAAAGCUAAAUAUUGGCGAGAGACCGAUAGCGAACAAGUACAGUGAUGGAAAGAUGAAAAGAACUUUGAAAAGAGAGUGAAAAAGUAC